GACGAACGCUGGCGGCGUGCUUAACACAUGCAAGUCGAACGGAAAGGCCUCUUUCGGGGGGUACUCGAGUGGCCAACGGGUGAGUAACACGUGCGUAACCUGCCCUUGUCUUUGGGAUAACUUCAGGAAACUGGGCCUACCUCCUGAUAGGAGCUCCUGCUGCAUGGUGGGGGCAGGAAAGUUUCGGCGGUUGGGAGUCGGUUCGCGGGUUAUCAGCUUGUUGGUGGGUAAGUGGGUUACCAAGGCUUUGGCGGGUAGCCGGCCUGUGAGAGUGACCGGCGACACUGAGACUGAGGGAAGGCCGAAGUUCCGACUGGAGGCAGAAGGGGGGAAGAUUGAACAAUGGGUGCAGGCCGGAUGCAGCAGGGCCGUGUGCGGGAUGACGGCGUUCGUGUGGUAGAACGCUUUCGCUCAUAACGAAGCUGUGUGUGACGGUAGCGGGUAAAGAAGCACCGGCUAACUACGUG
rnacentral:rRNA from 1 species